rnacentral:rRNA from 1 species
UACGUAGGGGGCAAGCGUUGUCCGGAAUCAUUGGGCGUAAAGAGCGCGUAGGCGGUCCGGUAAGUCCGCUGUAAAAGUCCAGGGCUCAACCCUGGAAAGCCGGUGGAUACUGUCGGGCUAGAGUCCGGAAGAGGCGAGUGGAAUUCCUGGUGUAGCGGUGGAAUGCGCAGAUAUCAGGAGGAACACCGAUGGCGAAGGCAGCUCGCUGGGACGGUACUGACGCUGAGGCACGAAAGCGUGGGGAGCGAACAGG